rnacentral:rRNA from 1 species
CCUACGGGAGGCUGCAGUGAGGAAUAUUGGUCAAUGGACGAGAGUCUGAACCAGCCAAGUAGCGUGAAGGAUGACUGCCCUAUGGGUUGUAAACUUCUUUUAUAUGGGAAUAAAACGUUCAACGUGUGGGAUUUUGUAUGUACCAUAUGAAUAAGGAUCGGCUAACUCCGUGCCAGCAGCCGCGGUAAUACGGAGGAUCCGAGCGUUAUCCGGAUUUAUUGGGUUUAAAGGGAGCGUAGGUGGAUUGUUAAGUCAGUUGUGAAAGUUUGCGGCUCAACCGUAAAAUUGCAGUUGAAACUGGCAGUCUUGAGUACAGUAGAGGUGGGCGGAAUUCGUGGUGUAGCGGUGAAAUGCUUAGAUAUCACGAAGAACUCCGAUUGCGAAGGCAGUUCACUGGACUGCAACUGACACUGAGGCUCGAAAGUGUGGGUAUCAAACAGGAUUAGAUACCCCAGUAGUC